rnacentral:misc_RNA from 1 species
GAUGAAGAACGCAGCGAAAUGCGAUAAGUAAUGUGAAUUGCAGAAUUCAGUGAAUCAUCGAAUCUUUGAACGCAUCUUGCGCUCCUUGGUAUUCUGAGGAGCAUGCCUGUUUGAGUGUCAUUAAAUUCUCAACCGCACUGACUUUGAAUUGGUGUGGCUUGGAUUUGGGGGGAAAAUUGUUGUGGGCUUUUUUGUAUAGUCUGCUCCCCUGAAAUUGAUUAGCGGUACCUUUGUGGAACUGUCUACAGGUGUGAUAAUUAUCUACAUCCUAGACAUCUGCUGGAAUGCUGCUUUCUAAACCUUACUUGUAUUGACAAUCUUGGCCUCAAAUCAGGUAGGACUACCCGCUGAACUUAAGCAUAUCAAUAAGCGGAGGA